rnacentral:rRNA from 1 species
AACGAACGCUGGCGGCAGGCUUAACACAUGCAAGUCGAGCGCCCCGCAAGGGGAGCGGCAGACGGGUGAGUAACGCGUGGGAACGUACCCUUUGCUACGGAAUAGCUCCGGGAAACUGGAAUUAAUACCGUAUGUGCCCUACGGGGGAAAGAUUUAUCGGCAAAGGAUCGGCCCGCGUUGGAUUAGCUAGUUGGUGGGGUAAUGGCCUACCAAGGCGACGAUCCAUAGCUGGUCUGAGAGGAUGAUCAGCCACAUUGGUACUGAGACACGGCCCAAACUCCUACGGGAGGCAGCAUUGGGGAAUAUUGGACAAUGGGCGCAAGCCUGAUCCAGCCAUGCCGCGUGAGUGAUGAAGGCCUUAGGGUUGUAAAGCUCCUUCACCGGAGAAGAUAAUGACGGUAUCCGGAGAAGAAGCCCCGGCUAACUUCGUGCCAGCCGCCGCCGUAAGAC